AUACGAAGCGAAAAGUAAAAGUACCUAUAAUCAUACAAUACUACAGACAGUAGUAUAGAGCAGCUAGGAGAAAAGAAUACAACAUGCAUAUAUAAACUGUGGUUCUAUACAUACAUAAGAUCCAAGAUACAAAAGCACUCGCACUGGCGAGAGUACAACAUCUGUAUGUAUAAACCAAAACUACACUACCUGCAACGGUCCUCCACUAGCUCAGCAACUCGACUGGAAGGACUCUAACUCGCGACGCC
rnacentral:lncRNA from 1 species